GACGAACGCUGGCGGCGUGCCUAAUACAUGCAAGUAGAACGCUGAAGGAGGAGCUUGCUUCUCUGGAUGAGUUGCGAACGGGUGAGUAACGCGUAGGUAACCUGCCUGGUAGCGGGGGAUAACUAUUGGAAACGAUAGCUAAUACCGCAUAACAGUAGAUGUUGCAUGACAUUUGCUUAAAAGGUGCAAUUGCAUCACUACCAGAUGGACCUGCGUUGUAUUAGCUAGUUGGUGGGGUAACGGCUCACCAAGGCGACGAUACAUAGCCGACCUGAGAGGGUGAUCGGCCACACUGGGACUGAGACACGGCCCAGACUCCUACGGGAGGCAGCAGUAGGGAAUCUUCGGCAAUGGACGAAAGUCUGACCGAGCAACGCCGCGUGAGUGAAGAAGGUUUUCGGAUCGUAAAGCUCUGUUGUAAGAGAAGAACGAGUGUGAGAGUGGAAAGUUCACACUG
rnacentral:rRNA from 1 species